rnacentral:rRNA from 1 species
AUUGAACGCUGGCGGCAGGCCUAACACAUGCAAGUCGAACGAGUGGCGGACGGGUGAGUAAUGUCUGGGAAAAUGCCUGAUGGAGGGGGAUAACUACUGGAAAAGGUAGCUAAUAACGCAUACCAUCGGAGGUGCCCAGAUGGGAUUGGCUUGUUGGUGGGGUAACGGCUCAACAAGGGGCAGAUCCCUAGCUGGUCUGAGAGGAUGAACAGCCACACGUGAACUGAGACACGGUCCAGACUCCUACGGGAGGCAGCAGUGGGGAAUAUUGCACAAUUGGCGCAAGCCUGAUGCAGCCAUGCCGCGUGUAUGAAGAAGGCCUUCGGGUUUUAAAGUACUUUCAGCGGGGAGGCGUUACCCGCAGAAGAAGCACCGGCUAACUCCGUGCCAGCAGCCGCGGUAAUAC